rnacentral:rRNA from 1 species
AGUGAACGCUGGCGGUAGGCCUAACACAUGCAAGUCGAACGGCAGCACAGUAAGAGCUUGCUCUUACGGGUGGCGAGUGGCGGACGGGUGAGGAAUACAUCGGAAUCUACUUUUUCGUGGGGGAUAACGUAGGGAAACUUACGCUAAUACCGCAUACGGCCUACGGGUGAAAGCAGGGGAUCUUCGGACCUUGCGCGAUUGAAUGAGCCGAUGUCGGAUUAGCUAGUUGGCGGGGUAAAGGCCCACCAAGGCGACGAUCCGUAGCUGGUCUGAGAGGAUGAUCAGCCACACUGGAACUGAGACACGGUCCAGACUCCUACGGGAGGCAGCAGUGGGGAAUAUUGGACAAUGGGCGCAAGCCUGAUCCAGCCAUACCGCGUGGGUGAAGAAGGCCUUCGGGUUGUAAAGCCCUUUUGUUGUGAAAGAAAAGCAGCAGGUUAAUACCCCGCUGUUCUGACGGUACCCAAAGAAUAAGCACCGGCUAACUUCGUG